rnacentral:rRNA from 1 species
CCUAACACAUGCAAGUCGAACGGUAACAGGAAACAGCUUGCUGUUUCGCUGACGAGUGGCGGACGGGUGAGUAAUGUCUGGGAAACUGCCUGAUGGAGGGGGAUAACUACUGGAAACGGUAGCUAAUACCGCAUAACGUCGCAAGACCAAAGAGGGGGACCCUCGGGCCUCUUGCCAUCGGAUGUGCCCAGAUGGGAUUAGCUUGUUGGUGGGGUAACGGCUCACCAAGGCGACGAUCCCUAGCUGGUCUGAGAGGAUGACCAGCCACACUGGAACUGAGACACGGUCCAGACUCCUACGGGAGGCAGCAGUGGGGAAUAUUGCACAAUGGGCGCAAGCCUGAUGCAGCCAUGCCGCGUGUAUGAAGAAGGCCUUCGGGUUGUAAAGUACUUUCAGCGGGGAGGAAGGGAGUAAAGUUAAUACCUUUGCUCAUUGACGUUACCCGCAGAAGAAGCAUCGGCUAACUCCGUGCCAGCAGCCGCGGUAAUACGGAGGGUGCAAGCGUUAAUCGGAAUUACUGGGCGUAAGGCGCACGCAGGCGGUUUGUUAAGUCAGAUGUGAAAUCCCCGGGCUCAACCUGGGAACUGCAUCUGAUACUGGCAAGCUUGAGUCUCGUAGAGGGGGGUAGAAUUCCAGGUGUAGCGGUGAAAUGCGUAGAGAUCUGGAGGAAUACCGGUGGCGAAGGCGGCCCCCUGGACGAAGACUGACGCUCACGUGCGAAAGCGU